rnacentral:rRNA from 1 species
UACAGAGGGUGCGAGCGUUGUCCGGAAUCACUGGGCGUAAAGGGCGCGUAGGCGGUCUGCUAAGCGUGUGGUGAAAGCUCGGGGCUCAACCCCGAGUCGGCCGUGCGAACUGGUGGACUGGAGCAUGUCAGAGGCAGGCGGAAUUCCGGGUGUAGCGGUGGAAUGCGUAGAGAUCCGGAAGAACACCGGUGGCGAAGGCGGUCGACUGGGCCAGUACUGACGCUGAGGCGCGACAGCGUGGGGAGCAAACAGG